UGUUGUCUUCUCUUCUCUCUCUUUCCCCUAUUUUCUCUCCUCUAUUUGUUUUCCACAAACCCUAACCCCCGCCCUAACCCGCCGUCAUCCCCCUUUCGUACUUCUCACGACCUUACUAAUGUACCAUUUUCGUAUUGCUCAGAUCUUGCUAUAACAAAUAGAUUAAUUAACAAUCAUAUUUCUUGAAGUAGUUAAAAGAAGAAAAUGCUCUGAUUUCUUGAUUCAUUCAAUCUCAUCGUCCUUCUUGCGCUUUCAAUUCUCCUUUCUGGACUACCAAUUUUGGUGCUCCUGUUUGGAAUGAUAACUUUUCCCUCACCCUUGGAUCUAGAGCUUUUGUGAACGCUACCGCAUCAUUAAACCCGGGAUUGCUUUUCGAUUCAAGUUAUGCUGAUUGCAUGUCUUUUCUAUGCGGGAAUGGUCUUUUGUCUAUCUAUCUAUUAGAACUCAUAAUAUUUUAUUGUUUCAACAGUACAGUAUAUGAAUAUGAACUACACCUUCAGGCCAUAUCGGUAUUCACAUUAUUUGUAGCAUCUAAAGUAAUUUAUAUGACAGGCCUUUAUGGAUUGAAAGAGUAGCCGUCUAAAGCAAGCCGAGAUAAGAGUCGCAAUACCUUCACAUUAGUAUAGCUGAAUUUUAUGUUUGAUGGUUAAUGUUGAUGAUAUAGCUGAAUUUUCACAAUCCUAAAGCUGCUAACGAGCUCAUUCGUGCUGAUGGAGGAUUCAAUUUCACUAUCAACCUUAUUGACGCAUUUCAAUACUCUGUACUACAAACCAGAAUUUUGUUGGAGUGAAAGGUUUGCAUUGAGUUCUAUGUGGAGCAUUUAUCUCUGCUCAGAUUGUGUCUUUGGCUCUUUGCUUUAUAAUAGAUCUAGAUCUAUUCGCAACGUAACAGUGUGAAGUUUCCUUAUUCUCCUUUUGUUUCCAAUUUUUGUUUUUACAUGUGCAAAUACACUUAAGUUGUACAAGAAGGGAGAACUUGAAAAUAUGCUAUAUGAAACUUUGCUAUUUGUACAUUUUUUUUUAUGCCAUAGGUAUGGUUUGUGUUAAUGUGGUUAUUUUUAAGGUGUAUAAAACAAUACAUUGCUCUUUUUGUUAUUUGGACAAUAAGGAUUUGGUUCUGCCUAUAUGUAACAUGUCUUUAUUUUAUCUCAGCAUAUGCAUUUCAUGUUUAUUGGCUUUCUUUUUCUUUUUCUAUGAAUUUACAUGACACUAAUAAAUGAUCAACUCUGUCGAUUUUGGAAAAUUCAUGUUCUUGCCGGAAAUAACUUGCCUUUGCUUUUGAGCCAGUUCUAACAGCGGAAGCACACAAUUCCAAUGAUUUGCUGUCACUGAAAUUCAUUGAAAUUCAAGCUUUCUUCUGGUUCAUCUGUCACGGUACAAGUGAUUGGAAGAUUGUUAAUCUUGAGCACUUGAUAAAUGUUGAAAGGAGAUCAACAUGUUGAAAGGGAGCAAUAGAAGGGGUAUAUUGUUUGUGGUUCUGUAAGCUGAUACAAGAUAUUCA